UACGAAGGGGGCUAGCGUUGCUCGGAAUCACUGGGCGUAAAGCGCACGUAGGCGGCUUUCUAAGUCAGGGGUGAAAUCCUGGAGCUCAACUCCAGAACUGCCUUUGAUACUGGAGAGCUUGAGUCCGGGAGAGGUGAGUGGAACUCCGAGUGUAGAGGUGAAAUUCGUAGAUAUUCGGAAGAACACAGUGGCGAAGGCGGCUCACUGGCCCGGUACUGACGCUGAGGUGCGAAAGCCAGGGGAGCAAACGGG
rnacentral:rRNA from 1 species